GGGGCCGUAUUGGAUUUGACAGCGAUAGCAGUUGUCAGGUGUAAGCAUGUCGAGCCAUGUGGUGAGUCUCGUUAAACUCUGGUCACAAACCAUAAUUGACAAUACGUCAUACAAUCUCGCUGCGUAAUUAGCGGAAUGCUAAUAACCUUAAUUCUAGCCGAAGUACAGUAGGCAGAACGAGUCCUUCUCCCAUACUUCCGCCUGUUAAGUAGGGAAUCAGAAGAAUCAUUCAUUUCAGGAUAGUAUCGACGAUGCUUCUAAGUCGGUAUGAAAUUUAGAAGCUACGCGUAAUCGUUGGGUGUCCUUGCCCGAAAUUACGUCGACAACAUAAUUGAGGAAUAAGCAUGUAGAAAGCCAGGUAAUUCGUCGUUUGGACGAGGGUUCGAUCCCCUCCGGCUCCACA
rnacentral:tmRNA from 1 species